rnacentral:rRNA from 1 species
GAUGAACGCUGGCGGCGUGCCUAAUACAUGCAAGUCGAGCGAACGGACGAGAAGCUUGCUUUUCUGAUGUUAGCGGCGGACGGGUGAGUAACACGUGGAUAACCUACCUAUAAGACUGGGAUAACUUCGGGAAACCGGAGCUAAUACCGGAUAAUAUUUUGAACCGCAUGGUUCAAAAGUGAAAGACGGUCUUGCCGUCACUUAUAGAUGGAUCCGCGCUGCAUUAGCUAGUUGGUAAGGUAACGGCUUACCAAGGCAACGAUGCAUAGCCGACCUGAGAGGGUGAUCGGCCACACUGGAACUGAGACACGGUCCAGACUCCUACGGGAGGCAGCAGUAGGGAAUCUUCCGCAAUGGGCGAAAGCCUGACGGAGCAACGCCGCGUGAGUGAUGAAGGUCUUCGGAUCGUAAAACUCUGUUAUUAGGGAAGAACAUAUGUGUAAGUAACUGUGCACAUCUUGACGGUACCUAAUCAGAAAGCCACGGCUAACAACGUG